CCUACGGGGGGCAGCAGUGGGGGAUAUUGCACAAUGGGGGAAACCCUGAUGCAGCGACGCCGCGUGAGUGAAGAAGUAUUUCGGUAUGUAAAGCUCUAUCAGCAGGGAAGAAAAUGACAGUACCUGACCAAGAAGCCCCGGCUAACUACGUGCCAGCAGCCGCGGUAAUACGGAGGAUUCAAGCGUUAUCCGGAUUUAUUGGGUUAAAGGGGUGCGCAGGCGGCGAGUUAAGUCAGCGGUAAAAUUUCGGGGCUCAACCCCGACAAGCCGUUGAAACUGGCUUGCUAGAGUGGGCGAGAGGUAUGCGGAAUGCGUGGUGUAGCGGGGAAAUGCAUAGAUAUGACGAAGAACUCCGAUUGCGAAGGCAGCAUACCGGCGCCCAACUGACGCUCAGGCACGAAAGCGUGGGUAUCGAACAGGAUUAGAUACCCCAGUAGUC
rnacentral:rRNA from 1 species